rnacentral:rRNA from 1 species
AGUCAUGGUUAAGUGGGAAACGAUGUGGGAAGGCCCAGACAGCCAGGAUGUUGGCUUAGAAGCAGCCAUCAUUUAAAGAAAGCGUAAUAGCUCACUGGUCGAGUCGGCCUGCGCGGAAGAUGUAACGGGGCUAAACCAUGCACCGAAGCUGCGGCAGCGACGCUUAUGCGUUGUUGGGUAGGGGAGCGUUCUGUAAGCCUGUGAAGGUGUGCUGUGAGGUAUGCUGGAGGUAUCAGAAGUGCGAAUGCUGACAUAAGUAACGAUAAAGCGGGUGAAAAGCCCGCUCGCCGGAAGACCAAGGGUUCCUGUCCAACGUUAAUCGGGGCAGGGUGAGUCGACCCCUAAGGCGAGGCCGAAAGGCGUAGUCGAUGGGAAACAGGUUAAUAUUCCUGUACUUGGUGUUACUGCGAAGGGGGGACGGAGAAGGCUAUGUUGGCCGGGCGACGGUUGUCCCGGUUUAAGCGUGUAGGCUGGUUUUCCAGGCAAAUCCGGAAAAUCAAGGCCGAGGCGUGAUGACGAGGCACUACGGUGCUGAAGCAACAAAUGCCCUGCUUCCAGGAAAAGCCUCUAAGCAUCAGGUAACAUCAAAUCGUACCCCAAACCGACACAGGUGGUCAGGUAGAGAAUACCAAGGCGCUUGAGAGAACUCGGGUGAAGGAACUAGGCAAAAUGGUGCCGUAACUUCGGGAGAAGGCACGCUGAUACGUAGGUGAAGCGACUUGCUCGUGGAGCUGAAAUCAGUCGAAGAUACCAGCUGGCUGCAACUGUUUAUUAAAAACACAGCACUGUGCAAACACGAAAGUGGACGUAUACGGUGUGACGCCUGCCCGGUGCCGGAAGGUUAAUUGAUGGGGUUAGCGCAAGCGAAGCUCUUGAUCGAAGCCCCGGUAAACGGCGGCCGUAACUAUAACGGUCCUAAGGUAGCGAAAUUCCUUGUCGGGUAAGUUCCGACCUGCACGAAUGGCGUAAUGAUGGCCAGGCUGUCUCCACCCGAGACUCAGUGAAAUUGAACUCGCUGUGAAGAUGCAGUGUACCCGCGGCAAGACGGAAAGACCCCGUGAACCUUUACUAUAGCUUGACACUGAACAUUGAGCCUUGAUGUGUAGGAUAGGUGGGAGGCUUUGAAGUGUGGACGCCAGUCUGCAUGGAGCCGACCUUGAAAUACCACCCUUUAAUGUUUGAUGUUCUAACGUGGACCCGUGAUCCGGGUUGCGGACAGUGUCUGGUGGGUAGUUUGACUGGGGCGGUCUCCUCCUAAAGAGUAACGGAGGAGCACGAAGGUUGGCUAAUCCUGGUCGGACAUCAGGAGGUUAGUGCAAUGGCAUAAGCCAGCUUGACUGCGAGCGUGACGGCGCGAGCAGGUGCGAAAGCAGGUCAUAGUGAUCCGGUGGUUCUGAAUGGAAGGGCCAUCGCUCAACGGAUAAAAGGUACUCCGGGGAUAACAGGCUGAUACCGCCCAAGAGUUCAUAUCGACGGCGGUGUUUGGCACCUCGAUGUCGGCUCAUCACAUCCUGGGGCUGAAGUAGGUCCCAAGGGUAUGGCUGUUCGCCAUUUAAAGUGGUACGCGAGCUGGGUUUAGAACGUCGUGAGACAGUUCGGUCCCUAUCUGCCGUGGGCGCUGGAGAACUGAGGGGGGCUGCUCCUAGUACGAGAGGACCGGAGUGGACGCAUCACUGGUGUUCGGGUUGUCAUGCCAAUGGCACUGCCCGGUAGCUAAAUGCGGAAGAGAUAAGUGCUGAAAGC